AGCGGAGGAAAAGAAACCAACCGGGAUUGCCUUAGUAACGGCGAGUGAAGCGGCAAAAGCUCAAAUUUGAAAUCUGGUACCUUCGGUGCCCGAGUUGUAAUUUGGAGAGGGCAACUUUGGGGCCGUUCCUUGUCUAUGUUCCUUGGAACAGGACGUCAUAGAGGGUGAGAAUCCCGUGUGGCGAGGAGUGCGGUUCUUUGUAAAGUGCCUUCGAAGAGUCGAGUUGUUUGGGAAUGCAGCUCUAAGUGGGUGGUAAAUUCCAUCUAAAGCUAAAUAUUGGCGAGAGACCGAUAGCGAACAAGUACAGUGAUGGAAAGAUGAAAAGAACUUUGAAAAGAGAGUGAAAAAGUACGUGAAAUUGUUGAAAGGGAAGGGCAUUUGAUCAGACAUGGUGUUUUGUGCCCUCUGCUCCUUGUGGGUAGGGGAAUCUCGCAUUUCACUGGGCCAGCAUCAGUUUUGGUGGCAGGAUAAAUCCAUAGGAAUGUAGCUUGCCUCGGUAAGUAUUAUAGCCUGUGGGAAUA
rnacentral:rRNA from 1 species